AAUAGAUACCCAGGGUAGUCCACGCCGUAAACGAUGAGUGCUAAGUGUUAGAGGGUUUCCGCCCUUUAGGUGCUGCAGCUAACGCAUUAAGCACUCCGCCUGGGGAGUACGGUCGCAAGACUGAAACUCAAAGGAAUUGACGGGGGCCCGCACAAGCGGUGGAGCAUGUGGUUUAAUUCGAAGCAACGCGAAGAACCUUACCAGGUCUUGACAUCCUCUGACAACUCUAGAGAUAGAGCGUUCCCCUUCGGGGGACAGAGUGACAGGUGGUGCAUGGUUGUCGUCAGCUCGUGUCGUGAGAUGUUGGGUUAAGUCCCGCAACGAGCGCAACCCUUGAUCUUAGUUGCCAGCAUUUAGUUGGGCACUCUAAGGUGACUGCCGGUGACAAACCGGAGGAAGGUGGGGAUGACGUCAAAUCAUCAUGCCCCUUAUGACCUGGGCUACACACGUGCUACAAUGGAUGGUACAAAGGGCUGCAAGACCGCGAGGUCAAGCCAAUCCCAUAAAACCAUUCUCAGUUCGGAUUGUAGG
rnacentral:rRNA from 1 species